rnacentral:rRNA from 1 species
GACGAACCGUCCUAACGUUGUUCGGAAUCACUGGGCUUAGAGGGCGCGUAGGCGGCCCUGUAAGUCGGGGGUGAAAGCCCACGGCCCAACCGUGGAAGUGCCUCCGAUACUGCGGGGCUCGAGGGAGGUAGGGGCAGCGGGAACUUCCGGUGGAGCGGUGAAAUGCGUUGAUAUCGGAAGGAACGCCGGUGGCGAAAGCGCGCUGCUGGACCUCUGCUGACGCUGAGGCGCGAAAGCCAGGGGAGCGAACGGG